GGAAGACAGCAGAUGCCCUGGCUGAAAUUCUAAGAAUUCACGAUGAACAGGAAAUCCAUGAUAUCCACACCAAGCGCACUACCGUUCUCCACGCCCUUCCUGUCUAUCUGCGUGAGGAUGUCUCUGGAUUUUUCAGAACCUGCACUGACGAAUCUGAUGAGUUGGAGCUUGAUGGUGUUGAAGUGGCCCUCUUCACUGUCAUCAGUGACCAUGACACGACAAGUCCAGUUCACUACCAACCUGUGAAAACCUCUGUCGUCAUUGAAAGUGAUGCCAUGGUCAGUCUCCCCAGAUUUGGUGAAGCCUUCCUGGUAAUGUUUGGACUGAUCUAUGCACUUCACCUCAGCUACCCCAAAGCCCUGACCAAC
ensembl:lncRNA